AUGGCCGCAACAGGAGGCGGUGCGAGGCAGGGGCGCGACAGCGGGUGUGACAUGCGGCCAGGGUGUGCGUCGCGCGGGGCACAGUGGUGCAGUGGCUGUGGCGAGCGUGAUGGCAAUGGCAGGCGUGACGGACGUGGUGUGGCACGUGCGUGGGCAUGGAGAACCAGAGAGGGAGUGGCCCCGCGGGCGCGGAAAGAAGAGCUGAAGGCUCAGGCAUGGGCGCACAUAGGAGCGGGCAUGUGCCACGGGGUCAAUCCGAGGAGCUCAGUGGCUACCCCUGCAAUGGCCAUGGCGGACGGCGGUUCUCGGGCACGGCGAAAUACCUAG
rnacentral:rRNA from 1 species